AGUGAACGCUGGCGGCAGGCCUAACACAUGCAAGUCGAGCGGCAGCGCGUCCGACCACCCUCGGGUGGUCGGAUGGCGGCGAGCGGCGGACGGGUGAGGAAUGCAUCGGAAUCUGCCUCGUUGUGGGGGAUAACGUAGGGAAACUUACGCUAAUACCGCAUACGACCUACGGGUGAAAGUGGGGGACCUUCGGGCCUCACGCGAUGAGAUGAGCCGAUGCCGGAUUAGCUAGUUGGCGGGGUAAAGGCCCACCAAGGCGACGAUCCGUAGCUGGUCUGAGAGGAUGAUCAGCCACACUGGAACUGAGACACGGUCCAGACUCCUACGGGAGGCAGCAGUGGGGAAUAUUGGACAAUGGGGGCAAGCCUGAUCCAGCCAUGCCGCGUGAGUGAAGAAGGCC
rnacentral:rRNA from 1 species